rnacentral:lncRNA from 7 species
AGAAACUUGAGCAAUAUAGGAAGUAUACCUCACACCAUUCCGUUUCUCUCCUGCAGUCAGGGGCCCUGAACCCCUGCUCAGCCCUCCCUGCCCAGACCCAGGAGGAACUGGGAGAGAGGUCAGCACCGCGCAGUCAGUCACACAGCCCUGGUACCUGGUGAUGAAGAGCAGCCAGGCCAACGGGCCCUUUCUUAUCCUACUUCCCAACCAGGCUUUGCAGCAAGUGUGUGCUUCCUGCUGUCUGAGCUGUCUGAACGUGCAACAGUGUGGAGAAGAGUUCAGAGGGAGGAGAGAGAAGUCUCACCUGCGACACUUUGAAAAAGAUGACAUGGCAAUGCUCUUUUAUUGGCAAGAGGUUGUGAAAACAUUAAAAGUUCUUCAGCCUAGGAAGAGAGGGGAGCAAGGUGAUGGAGCUGCCAUUUACAGUCAGAGGUCCUGACUGCAUUCCUGACCCCUCACAGGAACCAGAACGGAGGCCCCAAGGCCCUCUGGAUGGAGCUUCACAGCUUCAGAUCCUGAGCGUCACAAGACACAAGACAGGAAUGGGACUAAUAGGAUUAGAAACAUAAUUUAUUUUCAGGAUAGGAGGUCUGAUUUAGACGUAUCACACUGGGGCAGAGAUCAACAUAGCACUCCAGUUUCUGAGCAACUACCAGACCUUCUUUGCCCUGGGAAGUCUGUCCAUACUGAGAAGGAAGGAUGGCAGGACCUGGGGACUCUUGCCACUCCCCACCUAGGGAGCCCUUCCUCAUGCUAAGCCUAGCUUCCUGCCAUAAUACUUACUGUAGUGGUUUGAAUAUGCUUGACCCAUGGAGUGGCACUAUUAGGAGAUGUGGCCUUGUUGGAGUAGGUAUGUCACUACGGGAGUGGACUUUAAGGCCCUCUUUCUAGCUGCCUGGAAGUCAGUCUUCUGUUUGCCUUCAGAACAAGAUGUAGAACUCUGAGCUCCUCAUGCAAUGCACCAUGCCUGCCUGGGCACUGCCAUGCCCGCCUUGAUGAUAAUGGACUGAACCUCCGAACCUGUAAGCCAGCCCCAGUUAAAUGUUGUCCUUAUAAGAGUUGCCUUGGGGCUGGUGAGAUGGCUCAACAGGUAAAAGCACCGACUGCUCUUCUGAAGGUCAUGAGUUCAAAUCCCAGCAACCAUAUGGUGGCUCACAACCACCCGUAACAAGAUCUGACGCCCUCUUCUUGUGUGUAUUUACAUAUA